AGCUCCUUGCAGGGCCGGCGAUUGGCGGAACAUUGUAUCACAUGGUUGGAAACCGAGACCAUCUGCAAGGGAUCCGCAGGCAGCAGGGGGUUGGACUAGAGCUGUGGGGGUGGCACCUGCAGCACCUGGCUCCGAGGACCUUUCUAGGAGGGCCUGGAAGCCAGGCCGCAGAGGCUCUGCAGCCCCGGCAGAUGGGAGCUCUGGGGGACCCAGACAGCUUCUCUGAGACCAGCACAAGCUGCGAUCCCUGCUCCUUGACAUGUAUGAUAUUCCUGUUUACUGGCUAUCUUUUUAGUUAAAAGAAUGAUUUUCUGGUUUCAGCCCAGACGCUUUGGGAUCAUUACGUUUGCCCACUUUUCAAAGAGGAAAAGUGAGCGUUCUUGACCUACAGAGUAAGGAAUGUGCAAUAUUGCAAAAACCUUGACAACGGAGGGGGUGGGGAAGAAUCCUGUGGUCUACAGAGUUGGGUCAAGAGAAACUCACCUGCGAAGAUCAGGAGAGAGCAGAGGACCUGUGGCAAGAUCCUCAUUGAACAAAUGGUGUCUCAGAGACUCUUCAUGGCAGCAUGUGGGCAGGUCCCUAGAGCCCCAUGACUCUCCCAGUCCUUUCUCCAAGACUGCUGUCCUUCACGCACACGUCACAGCCACACCCCCUGCACGUGGUGGCACAACAGGACAGUUAAGAACCGAGGUCAGGUCGCAGAAUUUGAAAAUGCUGAAUAACCCUGCAUUUUUAUAUGUGCACACAUACACAGAUGAAAAGAAGUUUUCAAUGUGCUUAAAUGGAAUCCGGUUCUAUUCAGGUUUAUACCAUGGUUUUUUCCACCUCUGGUGACCACUGCAUAUGCCAUUAGAUGUUCUUAAAAGAAUGACUUGUAAUGACUUUGGAAUAGUUUCACCCUAAGGAUCUUGAUGCCAAGAAAAGGUUCAGAACAGAGUUUUACGCACACCAUGCCAUACUUGAACAAAAUCGGACAGGAUUUUUGUAACUAGAGAUUACAAGAAAAUUUAUUUUGCACUAGAUAACCCCUUUCUUCGGAAGGAUAGAAGAAGUGUGGCCGGAUUCCACAUAGUAUUCGGGAAGUACAAAUGUAAGAGUAAGAAGUUUUCUCACCUUCAGAUGUGCUCUGCGAGGGAAAUGAGAAGGAGGAGUGAACAUACAGCACAAGGAUGGGGUGUGGAUGAGAAGAGCAAAGCCAGAAGCGGGAGGUAGCGACUUGCCUCGCGCACACCCCCGACUAUGCCUCGCACCAGCCUUACACCGGCUGAUGUGAUUUCAUCGCUUAACUAAGAACCGUGGAAUCAAAACCCAAAAGGAUUCAGAGGAAGAAUCACAAAUAUUAAGAGGAAAAGAUGUGUGACCUACCAGAAAUGCAGGGGUGACAAAGUGGUGGCAGACAGAUCCAAGGACGGGGCCUUGAGCCUGGCCUAAGCCCCUGCUGCACAGAGAGCCAUCUGUGCUGUGGGUACGAAGACAGAUGAGUCAGCCCCAGUCUGAUGGAGGACACAGGCUAUAGGCAAGCCUUUUUCACGCAGCACUAGGGUUGCAUAUAGAGAGAAAUGAAUGAAGUCCCAUGGGAGCCCAACAGACGCGAGGAGAGGGCUCACAGAAGAUCAGAAGAUCACAGAGAUGAAGCGACAGUGGAGGUGAGUUAAGAAAAAUGGAACCGGGGCGCCUGGGUGGCGCAGUCGGUUAAGCGUCCGAUUUCAGCCAGGUCACGAUCUCGCGGUCCGUGAGUUCGAGCCCCGCGUCAGGCUCUGGGCUGAUGGCUCAGAGCCUGGAGCCUGUUUCCGAUUCUGUGUCUCCCUCUCUCUCUGCCCCUCCCCUGUUCAUGCUCUGUCUCUCUCUGUCCCAAAAAUAAAUAAACGUUGAAAAAAAAUUAAAAAGAAAAA
rnacentral:lncRNA from 1 species